rnacentral:rRNA from 1 species
CCUACGGGGGGCAGCAGUGAGGAAUAUUGGUCAAUGGGCGAGAGCCUGAACCAGCCAAGUCGCGUGAAGGAUGACGGCCCUACGGGUUGUAAACUUCUUUUGUCAGGGAGCAAUUGAGUCCACUUGUUGGCUUAGCGAGAGUACCUGAAGAAAAAGCAUCGGCUAACUCCGUGCCAGCAGCCGCGGUAAUACGGGGGAUGCGAGCGUUAUCCGGAUUUAUUGGGUUUAAAGGGUGCGUAGGCGGAAUAUCAAGUCAGCGGUAAAAAUUCGGGGCUCAACCCCGUCGUGCCGUUGAAACUGAUGUUCUUGAGUGGGCGAGAGGUAUGCGGAAUGCGGGGUGUAGCGGUGAAAUGCGUAGAUAUCACGCGGAACUCCGGUUGCGAAGGCAGCAUACCGGAGCCCAACUGACGCUGAAGCGCGAAAGCGUGGGUAUCGAACAGGAUUAGAUACCCUUGUAGUC